AGAAGAAGAAGAAGAAGAAGAUGUAGUCACGGUAAUGUCUUUAGUUACCCUAAUUGUGGUGGUUUAAAAUUUUGUUCUUUACUGGGGGGACUGAGAGGUGAUAGAGGUGGAAUGGAGAAAAGGGUCCUAGGCCAUCAUAUUUGAAUUGAUUGGUGCAGCAUAAUAGAUUGAAAAACUAAAUAAAUAAAUAAAGAAUGAAUGGGCUUGAAAAAAGAAAACGAAAAUUGAAGUAGAAAAGAGAAGACUGAACAAAAAAUAAUAGAGAGAAUAGGUUUGGUUGUGUGUUUUAGGAAACCCCUAACAGUAGUGAUUUCUUCUUCCUUGUGUAGAAAGGUUGCUUGAUUUAAAUUGAUAUUGGCUUUUGUCCUUAUUUUUACUGUUUUAAUCUGAUUGGAUGUUCUUAAUGCCAUGGUAAUGCAUUUAUACAAGGAAAUUUGUACACAAAGUAAAUAAAAAUAAACCUAAGUAAUAAAUAUUAUGGAGGCAUGCCUUAUUGCGCAUCCCAUUAAGGUCAUUUUCCUUACAAUGAUUGAUUUUCCCUAUGCCUUGCAUUGUGCCAUAGUGCACCUUCAACAGCUAUACGAAUUUAUAUGGUAAAGAUUUAUUUUAAUGUUAUCCUCUUUAAUAUUUGGAAAAAAUAGAUAUCAUAGCUAAAAAUGUCAAUUUUGCCUAGCCCUGCUAGAUACCCACCUUACCUGAUUCACCACCUUUGUUCAUAUAUUAUAUAUUAUGUUAAUAUUCAUCAUUAGAUAUAAAUAUAGAACUAAUAUAUUUGAAAUUAACUUUAAAAUAUAAUUUUUAAAUAUAG
rnacentral:misc_RNA from 1 species